rnacentral:lncRNA from 1 species
GGAUGACAGACCGCUCCAGGAACGAGAGAUGGAGCGAUCGCAUUUCCCCCCCAAGGCCCGCUAGGACCCGCUGACGUCGGGGCAGGGGUCAAGGGUCAGGAAUGGGUCCAGCUGUGCGUCUGGAAAGGACCCAGCGUGCCCACGCUCCCGGCAAGCCAGGGCUCAAACAUCCCCCCCAAGGGCGUCCGGGCUGAUGACGAUAGCGCCCAAUCGCCCUCCAGAAGCAGGCUGGCAGGAACAACCAGAGGGACUUCCCUGACUGACCCCGCGUUUGCUCAGCUUUGAAUUCCCGCUCGGUAGAUCUGUCGCAAUUUAACCAGAGGUCACCCUGAAGAGAGUGUCAGAAUCCCUGGAACCAGAGUUACAGAUGUUUAUAAUCCACCAUUGCAUGGAACUGUUUGAGAAAGAUCAGAGGAUGUGCCCUUGUUGGAGGAGAUG